GAGCAUGUUCAUUAAAUUUGGAAAGAUGUAAACUUGUAUUGAAGGUUGGCUAUAGGAAACGUAGGGUGAUUCUCCGUGCCUUUCGAACUUUGCUUGUGUUGAUUGUGGCCUCGAACAAAUCACUACAUU
rfam:Spinacia oleracea cultivar SynViroflay scaffold10831.con0001.1, whole genome shotgun sequence.